rnacentral:rRNA from 1 species
UACGGAGGGGCUAGCGUUGUUCGGAAUUACUGGGCGUAAAGCGCACGUAGGCGGCUUUGUAAGUUAGAGGUGAAAGCCCAGAGCUCAACUCUGGAACUGCCUUUAAGACUGCAUCGCUUGAAUUGUGGAGAGGUAAGUGGAAUUCCGAGUGUAGAGGUGAAAUUCGUAGAUAUUCGGAAGAACACCAGUGGCGAAGGCGGACUUACUGGACACAUAUUGACGCUGAGGUGCGAAAGCGUGGGGAGCAAACAGG